GCCGAAGUGGCGGAACUGGUAGACGCGACGGACUCAAAAUCCGUUUCUGGAAACAGAGUGGGGGUUCGAUUCCCCCCUUCGGCACCA
rnacentral:tRNA from 1 species